rnacentral:rRNA from 1 species
AGCGAACGCUGGCGGCGUGCCUAACACAUGCAAGUCGAACGUGAAAGAGGGGCAACCCUCGAGUAAAGUGGCGUACGGGUGAGUAAUACGUAGGUAAUCUACCCCAGAGUCUGGAAUAACCUGCCGAAAGGCGGGCUAAUACUGGAUAGAGCGACGGAAUCCGUAAUUGGGUUUUUCGGGAAGGGAGCUCGUUAAGAGCCUUCGCUUUGGGAUGAGCCUACGCCCCAUCAGGUAGUUGGCAGGGUAACGGCCUACCAAGCCUUUGACGGGUAGCUGGUCUGAGAGGAUGAUCAGCCACACUGGAACUGAAACACGGUCCAGACUCCUACGGGAGGCAGCAGUGGGGAAUCUUGCGCAAUGGGCGAAAGCCUGACGCAGCCACGCCGCGUGAGUGAAGAAGGCC